GUGUUGUAUGAAAGGCGAGAAGGUUAGAACUCCCCUUGACAAGGAUAGAAGAGGCCCUUGGGACUAAAAACACACAUAACGUUAAGGUGGUGCCAUCAACUUUGUGGCAUUUAACCAUUGUUUUUU
rnacentral:ncRNA from 1 species